rnacentral:rRNA from 1 species
GAUGAACGCUGGCGGCGUGCCUAAUACAUGCAAGUCGAGCGAACGGACGAGAAGCUUGCUUCUCUGAUGUUAGCGGCGGACGGGUGAGUAACACGUGGAUAACCUACCUAUAAGACUGGGAUAACUUCGGGAAACCGUAGCUAAUACCGGAUAAUAUUUUGAACCGCAUGGUUCAAAAGUGAAAGACGGUCUUGCUGUCACUUAUAGAUGGAUCCGCGCUGCAUUAGCUAGUUGGUAAGGUAACGGCUUACCAAGGCAACGAUGCAUAGCCGACCUGAGAGGGUGAUCGGCCACACGGGAACUGAGACGCGGUCCAGACUCCUACGGGAGGCAGCAGUAGGGAAUCUUCCGCAAUGGGCGAAAGCCUGACGGAGCAACGCCGCGUGAGUGAUGAAGGUCUUCGGAUCGUAAAACUCUGUUAUUAGGGAAGAACAUAUGUGUAAGUAGCUGUGCACAUCUUGACGGUACCUAAUCAGAAAGCCACGGCUAACUACGUG